rnacentral:snRNA from 1 species
GUUAUAUGGUGUCUCCUCAUUUGCGGAUAAAUCUUUCACCUUUUACUAAAGAUCUCCAUAGGUAGGCACAAUACAAUGAGUCCUGUCUAAUUUUUUUCAGCUCUGUCUUCGAACGGAGUA